GAUGAAGAACGUAGCGAAAUGCGAUACGUAGUGUGAAUUGCAGAAUUCAGUGAAUCAUCGAAUCUUUGAACGCACAUUGCACCUCUCGGUAUUCCGGGAGGUAUGCCUGUUCGAGCGUCAUUUGUACCCUCAAGCUCUGCUUGGUGUUGGGUGUUUGUUCCGCCUCUGCGUGUGAACUCGCCUCAAAACAAUUGGCAGCCGGCGUACUUGUUUCGGAGCGCAGCACAUUUUGCGAUCCAGAUCAACGUACAGCGGCAUCCAAGAAGCCUUAUUUAACGCUCUUGACCUCGGAUCAGGUAGGGAUACCCGCUGAACUUAAGCAUAUCAAUAAGCGGAGGA
rnacentral:misc_RNA from 1 species